rnacentral:rRNA from 1 species
GACAGAGGGUGCAAACGUUGUUCGGAAUUACUGGGCGUAAAGCGUGCGCAGGCGGUUUUGUAAGACUGUCGUGAAAUCCCCGGGCUCAACCUGGGAAUGGCGAUGGUGACUGCAAGGCUAGAGUUUGGCAGAGGGGGGUAGAAUUCCACGUGUAGCAGUGAAAUGCGUAGAUAUGUGGAGGAACACCGAUGGCGAAGGCAGCCCCCUGGGUCAAAACUGACGCUCAUGCACGAAAGCGUGGGGAGCAAACAGG